rnacentral:misc_RNA from 1 species
CUAUCAUUCACGCAAUGUCUGUUUUAUGUCUAACAUUACAAGGAGUUUCUAUAACUGUUCGGACACAGACCAAAGUUAUGAUUCAUUCAUUAUUCUGAUUAAUUAGCCGAGCCAUUGUGGUUUGUCCACACACAAUAUUCGAAAUGGAAAAUCUGAAACUGCGCCGGGUUCGAGAGCGUCUCCUGAGUUGCCCCGUCUGCCUUGACGAGUAUGAAGACCCCAGGCUGCUGCCCUGUCUACAUUCUAUUUGCUAUGAGUGCCUGCAACAGCUGAAAAAUGCUUCGUCCAUGCGCUUGAUACAGUGUCCGCAGUGUCGGGCAAAUAUUUCGACAUCUCAAGACUUUCCCGCCAAUUUUCUAAUUAAUUCUCUCAAAGAAGAAAUCACCACAUCUUUUGAACAGAAGCUCUGUGACUCCUGCACGAAAGACAGCCGUUUAGCCAAGUACAACUGCAGCAAGUGCGACAUGGAUUUGUGCAGCUGGUGUGCGACCAAGCACAACCUGACUUUACACAUGGAUUCCAUUGAGAACAUACUCAUACCUAUUCAAGUUAAUUAUCCUGAUCCUAAGGAACCACCUGAAGCAGAAUGCCCCUUGCAUAGCGGGGAAUAUCUACAGGUGUUCUGUGUCACCUGUACUAAGGAUAUUUGCCUACAGUGUUAUUACAAAUCUCAUUAUCGGCACAAGACUAAACCGCUCAAAGAAAUGCUGAGUACAUUCAAAGAACUUACCGAAAAAGAGUUUGAGUAUCUCGAAGUUAUUAAGGACCAAAUUGAGUUACAGCUUUUGAAGCUUGACCUGGUGAAAAACCAGAUAACGACUUCUCGUGAUGAAGUUCUAAGUAAAAUCUACGACAGUCGCGACCAGUUUCUCUACGAGGUGCAGGCGUCCGUCAACGAACAGGUGAAAAAGGUGAAUCUGUGGCAGAGUCAGCUUAUACACGAGCUUGACCGACAUCAUUCCAAAUUGCAGAACUGUUACAAAAGUAUCGAACGAGGAAGCAAAGUCUUUGAGCAAAUGAAAGAUGAAGAAACGAAUUUUCCAACGAUGCAUGAAUUUUCAAAAUUCUUCAGCCGAAUCGAAGCGGAACAGGAAAGUCUUCAUCGUCGGUCGUUUAAGGUUAAGAAAAUUAAAUUCCACCAAACAUGGCGUUUUAAAUUUCAACCAUUUUUUGGUGCCUUUUUUGGUUAUCCUUAUUUUGAAACUGAAAAAGUUGAAAUAUUUCCAAGAAUGAAAAAGAGAAAGAAAAAGGUUGGACUCGUUAAAAUAUUCUUGCGGUUCAUGAUCCUUUUUGCUUUUCUUACGGGUGUUUAUGAGAAUUUUAAUGAAAAUGGAAAUUGGACUUUUUGGUUAAUUCUUAGCUUACAGUUGUAUUUAUUGGUUAGUUUUGUAUUGUGCUGGUAAAAGUUCCGGUCAACCCUUUAAUAUUGAAACCAGCCACGUCCAGCCCAAAUAUUCGACUUGUUUUAU